rnacentral:rRNA from 1 species
UGCAACUCAAUGAAUUGACGGGGAAUCGAAUUCCCGCGGCCGCCAUGGCGGCCGGGAGCAUGCGACGUCGGGCCCAAUUCGCCCUAUAGUGAGUCGUAUUAAUGGGUCUAAUACCGGAUAUGACCUCGGAAUGCAUGUUCUGGGGUGGAAAGAUUUAUCGGUGCGAGAUGGCCCGCGGCCUAUCAGCUUGUUGGUGAGGUAACGGCUCACCAAGGCGACGACGGGUAGCCGACCGGAGAGGGUGACCGGCCACACUGGGACUGAGACACGGCCCAGACUCCUACGGGAGGCAGCAGUGGGGAAUAUUGCACAAUGGGCGCAAGCCUGAUGCAGCGACGCCGCGUGCGGGAUGACGGCCUUCGGGUUGUAAACCGCUUUUGACAGGGACGAGGCGCAAGUGACUGUACCUGUAGAAUAAGGACCGGCCAACUACGUGCCAGCAGCCGCGGUGAUACGUAGGGUCCGAGCGUUGUCCGGAAUUACUGGGCGUAAAGAGCUUGUAGGCGGUUCGUCGCGUCGUUUGUGAAAACUUGGGGCUCAACCUUAAGCUUGCAGGCGAUACGGGCGGACUAGAGUACUUCAGGGGAGACUGGAAUUCCUGGUGUAGCGGUGAAAUGCGCAGAUAUCAGGAGGAACACCGGUGGCGAAGGCGGGUCUCUGGGAAGUAACUGACGCUGAGGAGCGAAAGCAUGGGUAGCAAACAGGAUUAGAUACCCUGGUAGUCCAUGCCGUAAACGGUGGGUACUAGGUGUGGGGCUCCUUCCACGGACUCCGUGCCGUAGCUAACGCAUUAAGUACCCCGCCUGGGGAGUACGACCGCAAGGCUAAAACUCAAAUGAAUUGACGGGG